UACGAAGGGGGCUAGCGUUGCUCGGAAUCACUGGGCGUAAAGCGCACGUAGGCGGAUCUUUAAGUCAGGGGUGAAAUCCUGGAGCUCAACUCCAGAACUGCCUUUGAUACUGGGGAUCUCGAGUCCGGGAGAGGUGAGUGGAACUCCGAGUGUAGAGGUGAAAUUCGUAGAUAUUCGGAGGAACACCUGCGGCGAAGGCGGCCUUCUGGACGAUGACUGACGCUGAGACGCGAAAGCGUGGGGAGCAAACAGG
rnacentral:rRNA from 1 species